rnacentral:ncRNA from 1 species
AAACUGAAGAGUUUGAUCAUGGCUCAGAUUAAACGCUAGCGGCAAGCCUAACACAUGCAAGUCGUGCGGCAUCGUGAAGAAUUUUCUUUGACGGCGAGCGGCGGACGGGUGAGUAAUAUCUGGGGAUCUGCCUAAAAGAGGGGGACAACUACUGGAAACGGUAGCUAAUACCGCAUGAUAUCAAUUGAUUAAAGCAGGGGACUAAAUUAAAAUAUUUAUAUUUUAAUAAAGCCUUGCGCUUUUAGAUGAACCCAGACGAGAUUAGCUAGUAGGUGAGGUAAAAGCUCACCUAGGCGACGAUCUCUAGCUGGUCUGAGAGGACGGCCAGCCACACUGGAACUGAGACACGGUCCAGACUCCUACGGGAGGCAGCAGUGGGGAAUAUUGCACAAUGGGGGAAACCCUGAUGCAGCUAUGCCGCGUGUGUGAAGAAGGUCUUCGGAUCGUAAAGCACUUUCAGCAAGGAAGAAAGCAGAUAUGCUAAUAUCAUAUCUGUGUGACGUUACUUGCAAAAGAAGCACCGGCUAACUCCGUGCCAGCAGCCGCGGUAAUACGGAGGGUGCGAGCGUUAAUCGGAAUUACUGGGCGUAAAGCGUACGCAGGCGGCUUAUUAAGUCAGAUGUGAAAUCCCUGGGCUUAACCUAGGAACUGCAUUUGAAACUAAUAAACUAGAGUAUCGUAGAGGGAGGUAGAAUUCCAGGUGUAGCGGUGAAAUGCGUAGAUAUCUGGAGGAAUACCAGUGGCGAAGGCGACCUCCUGGACGAUAACUGACGCUCAGGUACGAAAGCGUGGGGAGCAAACAGGAUUAGAUACCCUGGUAGUCCANNNNNNNNNNNNNNNNNNNNNNNNNNNNNNNNNNNNNNNN